ensembl:lncRNA
CAGGGAAAGUGGGCGGGGCUAGGGGCGGGGCAUCGGCUAACUGACGCGAGCCCCCUCACCUCGCGAGAGUAGGCUCUGGACCGCCGCCCUCGGGUCACGUGGACAGCGAGCUGGCUCAGGAAUCCCCUGACAGGUAGAUGGGGGCGGGGAAAGAUGGAGAGGAGCCGAGAGAGAGAAUAACCAAGACACACUUGGACGAAGGAAACAGGGCUUAUCUGGAGAUUUUACAGUACCAGAUGCUGCAAAGAGAAAAAGCAAAUAACUGCAUGAAUGCACUGUCUGGAAUAGCCAACAGACCUGCCUUCAAGUUCCUGGCUCAUCUCGCAGUGAUGGAUUGCAAGCCGGAAUUGUCAACCAAAUAAACCUUUCUCCCGGAUAUUGCUUUUUGUUACACUAUUUCAUCAACUGUGGCGUAGAAAAGUAUUUCAGACUCUCCCUAGAUGAUAAAACUGUGAAGCAGAAUUUGUUAAAAUAAAUAAUAGUAAAGAGCAUUGAAUCUGUGUAACUGCGUUGUUCACUCCUCAAUGGCCAGCUGCCCCGUGAACGUGGUGAAUAACUCUAGAACAAACCAGCAGCUGGACAAGGAGGGAGCAUAGUAUGAUGCUUGCAGGCACCUUUAUCUACAUCAGAGAGAAAAAAAAGUCUCCAAACCUUGAUCAUGAUCAUCAUGUCCACCAAUUCACCUGUCACAGGCUGUGAGGACAUGCUGUGAGUGGCUGGCCAGAACUGUAAAUCUUCAAAGACCUGAGAGCUGUCCAGACUCAUCUACAGAGAAUGCCCGUUCAUUCUCAGGCUACAAACUUGAAGGUUAUCAUAAUCCCUGGACCAUUCCAGCUGUGAACAUAGUGGAACAUGCCUAUUACUGAACAAAUCAGUCUCGUUUGCUGCUUGGGGCUAGAGAAUUUUGAGAGAGCUGGUUUUACAAAGCUUCCCCCAGAAAAUGCAGUCCACGUGACAAACUCCAGCCCUGAGUGAUUCAUUCCUCAGGGGCUUACCACACUAGAAGGGUUCCUGAUGCUUUCCAGGGUGUACCACAAGCCUUACUUUCAGAGAUUCGUUAGAUCAUAGCCACUCUAGUCGCACACACAAUAUUGCUUUUCUUCAACAUCAAGGUAAUGCAGUCUUAUACUACACACUGUGAGGGAUUCUUAGUAUUAAGAAACUGUCCCAGGGGCAGGAGAGAUAGCUCAGAGGUAAAGAGCACUGGCUGCUCUUCCAGAGGACCUGAGUUCAAUUCCCAGCAACCACAUGGUGGUUCACAACCAUCUACAGUGAGAUCUGGUGUCCUCUUCUGGCAUGCAGGCAGAACACUGACUGUAUACAUAAUAAAUAAAUAUUUAAAAAAAGGAAAGAAACUGUCCCCUUGUUUUACUGGAUUAUCAUUAAUUUUUUUGCUUUGCCUGAGUCCUAUACCCUAACUUUGUGUAAGUCACUAUAAUAUAUACAGACACCUAUGCAUACAACCUGUUCAUUGCUGUCAACAUGUACAGUGUGCCUACUGUUGACUCAGUAGUCCCCGUUCUAGGAAUCGUCUGCAGAAAUACUAAGGGUGUACAAAGUAAUGGUAGAGGAGGGUAUCUACUGGGCAUGUAGCAGUGCUCUUCUUACCUCUAAAAAUGUUCACACUGUACUAUUGACAAGCAUCUCUCAACAGAGUAUAUUCCUAAAUGAAAUGGAACCUUGAAUUGUUAACCUUGAUUCUGAAGAUUCUUCCAAUCUCA